rnacentral:lncRNA from 1 species
UUUUAUUAUUAUGGCUUGCAUAGAAUUUUGGAUCUAAAAAGUUUUGUCCAUUUUCUUAAGAAAAAUUAUAAUUAUUCGACAAUAAUGACAUUAUUUUUAAUUGUAGAAUAAUAAUUAUUUUCAUAAAUAUUUUUAAUUUAUGAUAAAAACAAUAAAAUAACUAUUCUAAAUUAUAUAUAAAUGUUUAUAUAUUAUUUAUAGAAUUUUAUAAGGUGAUGAUUGUUUUGAUGGUUUUUAAAUUUUAGUUUUUAGUUUUUGGCUUUUAGAGUUUAGUUUUUGGAUUUUUGGUUUUUGAUUUUGCAGUAGAUUUUAGUUUUUUUUUUUAACACAAAUGGGAUUUUGGGUUUUACUGUUUUAGCUUUCAUUUUUUUAAAAAAAAAUAAAAUAUUUAUUUAAUUCUUUGGUUUUUAAUUUUAUUGUAGUUUUAGAUUUUAGAAAAACUUGAGUGAUAAAUUUUCAGUUUUUAAUUAUUUUUAAUAUAUUUUAUUAACUAUUUUUGGUUGAAGUUGAAAUAAAAAUUAAUUACAAAUAUAUAAACUUUAUUAAAAAAUAAAAUUAUAUUUCUACAUUUUUUUUAAUUUUUGAUUUAUAUUUUAUUUUCUAAAAUUUGAUUCCUGGCUUAUUUUAGUUUUUCUUUUAUUUAACAAUAAAAUAAAUUAUAAAAAAAAAUCAAACAACCGUAAAAUUACUUAAA